UUUAUUCAUAGCCCCUCAUAGAUAUACUCUGAAAUGUUGUAUUUAGUCUUAUCAGGCUGGUGUAGCAGUUCACUCGCCUGACAUUAAGGACUGUUUUCCAUCCGAUAGGCUGCAGCUUCUCGUGACCCUGAACAGCAGAAAAUAAAAUGAAUGGAUGGUAGAAGCUUAAACGUGCUGGAGGUCAUCUUUCCAACCGCGCAGAGUGGACGUCACGCUGAUUCCCCGACUGGCAAGAGGAAGAAAAGGACCAACUCAUUUAAAUGCUGAGGAACUGGACUGAUUCCUUUUUGGGCCAAGUCGCUUGGAAAAACAUUCUUCUUCUAUGCUGGGUCAGUUUGAAGAUUGAGGACUUUGGAGCCAACAUCCUGCCUCCAUAUGGAAGAAAGGAUGAACAGGACAGCUCCCUUUGACCCCAUUGAGGUGACAGCUGAACACCAGACAAACUUUUUUCCCCCACCUCAAAUGGGCUUGAUGGUGAAUCAGCUGCAUAUUAAAGAACCAGGUUGAACUAGAAUUAGGUGCAUGUAAUCUGAACGGAAGAGGGCAUAGAAUGGAUUGUGAUUAAAAAGAGGACAAUCUACGUGAGCAGAUGUUCAAUCAUUGUACGAAUAAAAGAACAAAUUAAACUUUUUAUCAUCACUUUCAGGUUGGCAUCUACAUGAAUAACAUUCCUUGCCCUUUUCUUACCAACAAGUAACCCAGAUAAGGCUUUAAAUUUGUGAUCAUUUCAAGUGGCAUU